CCUGGUGUUUCCAGCGCGGUGGACCCACUCCGACCCAUCCCGAACUCGGUGGUGAAACGCUGCAGCGGCGAAGAUACUCUGGGGGUAACCCUACGGGAAAAUAGCUCAAUGCCAGGU
rnacentral:rRNA from 1 species